GCGGCUUCGCGUCUUCCUUAUUCUCAAGGAAAAAAAAAAAAAAGGAACUGAGAAAUUUAUCUUAUCAGUUAUCACUUCAUCAUUAAUGGCGUCCAUGAUGAAGAACCCAGCCAUGUUCGCGCCUCAUUUUCCAUUGCUACAACUGCCUUCAUUUUGCCACCGUUCGCCUCUCCCUCUCCUCCGUGGCCCUCCCUCAGCUGCCGCUGCCGCUUCAGUAUCGAAUUCCUCAUUUCGGAAAGGAAGCGGCGACAGAGAGCUCCUCUCACUUUCGUCUUCCUCGGGAUACCGGAAUUCGACUCGGUAUGUGAAGGUUAGGUCACAGCUGAGGCAUUCAAUUAUUGCGCCGGAUGAUUAUUGGGGCACAUGGACUGCCUUGUUUGCUAUUGGCGGAUUGGGGAUCUGGUCUGAGAAGACCACAAUAGGUAGAACAGUGAGUGCUGCUUUGGUUAGCACUUUGGUUGGCCUGGCAGCCAGUAACUUUGGCAUAAUCCCCUAUGAAGCCGUGUCUUAUUCAAUUGUCAUGGAAAUUCUGCUUCCAGUAUCUGUUGCCUUGCUACUAUUUCGGGCAGACAUGCGCCAUAUAAUCCGAUCAACUGGAACAUUACUUGGAGUCUUCAUGCUCGGAUCAGUUGCGACUAUUAUUGGAACUGUGGUAGCAUUUCUCAUGGUGCCUAUGAGAUCACUGGGUCCUGAUAACUGGAAAAUAGCUUCUGCUCUCAUGGGUAGUUAUAUUGGUGGAUCUGUUAAUUAUGUUGCAAUUUCAGAGGCUCUUGGUGUUUCUCCAUCAGUUUUAGCGGCAGGAGUGGCUGCUGACAAUGUCAUCAGUGCUUUAUAUUUUGUUGCCCUCUUUGCAUUGGCUUCUAGAACACCUCCUGAACCCCCAACAUCAACCAACGAUGCUUCAACUGAUAUGGACUCUGAUAACGGCACGAAGCUCCCUGUGUUGCCGACUGCUACGGCUGUUUUUGCAUCAUUUGCAAUAUGCAAGUUUGUCACGUGGAUUACAAAUUUAUGUAAAAUUCAAGGUGCCAAUCUUCCUGGGAUAACUGCAGUUGUUGUCAUUUUAGCUACCGUUUUCCCAAAACAGUUCAGUUAUUUAGCACCCGCAGCUGAUACCAUUGCCCUGAUUCUUAUGCAGGUGUUCUUUGCGGUUGUCGGUGCUAGUGGGAGUGUGUGGUAUGUCAUCAACAAUGCACCAAGUAUUUUCAUGUUUGCUCUAGUUCAAGUUACAGUCCAUCUUCUUGUAAUUCUUGGUUUUGGAAAGCUAUUCAGCAUUGAUUUAAAGCUGUUGCUUCUGGCUUCAAAUGCCAACAUUGGAGGCCCAACAACAGCAUGUGGAAUGGCAACUGCCAAGGGUUGGAGAUCUUUGGUGGUUCCUUCUAUUCUUGCUGGCAUUUUCGGUAUUGCAAUUGCUACUUUCCUGGGCAUCAGUUUUGGGGUGAUGAUCCUCAGGCGUUUGUAGAAAAAACACGUGAUCAAAAUGCAAGAUGCCAUUUAUUUUCUGUUGAAAGGAUCAAAAUUUUCAUUUUCUUGUCGUUGGGGAAGGAAAGGACCCAGAAGCUCGGGCGGUCGAGCACUGAAUGCAGCAAUGUAAGUUCAAAAGGAUAGUGUUAAACACAGAAGCCUCAAGCAGAUCAGUUUGGCUGUUUCUUAUUCACCUUGAAACUGGUCAAAAUAGCGAUGUUUUCCAGAAGAACUCCCCACAGGGGAGACAGAAGCGUACACAAACUUUUGACUCUUGAAAAAGGCCAAAAACAUCAUAGAGAAAGAGCAGCAAAUUUUCUCUCUCGGGAUUCUCUUUGCGUCCUGGGAUUUGAAUUUUGACUACUAAUCCUUUUUUUUUACCCCUUAAUAUAAGAAUGAUGCCUUCUUUUGAAAGAAGCAAAAAGAUAAUGUCUAAAGGAGUUUGUGGGGUUGUGCUAUUUUGAAAUGGAAACAAUCAUUUAUGUCACGUGUUAAUGAAUAAUUUUGUUUCUUUUCCCGUAAAAUACGUUUACAGAUGAUUUGAACUU